AAGGGCACCACAAGAACGCGUGGAGCAUGUGGCUUAAUUUGACUCAACGCGGGAAAUCUUACCGGGUCCGGACACACUGAGGAUUGACAGACAAAUACACACACUUUUACGGUGUGCAUGAAAUAUGCUAGUUCUUUCAUGAUUAUGUGAUAGGUGGUGCAUGGCCGUUCUUAGUUCGUGGAGUGAUCUGUCUGCUUAAUUGCGUUUCACUAAAGGCACAUACACAUAAUAUUGAUGCGUUGUGUGUAUAAUUUAUAAUUAUACGCAUACACACAUAUUAUAUUGUGCUUUGAAAGCAACGAACGUGACCGCAACCUCUUGUUGCCUGUAUAUAUGUGUAUUUUAUACACACCACAGGCUAUUAUAACUAGAGGGACCGCUGUUACUUUCUUUUAAACCAGAGGAAGGUUGCGGCAAUAACAGGUCUGUGAUGCCCUUAGAUGUUCCGGGCUGCACACGUGCUACAAUGAUCAUUGCAGUGCGCAUCUCAUUUUGUUAUACACUGCUUGUGCGUAUGUGCAUCACAUAUAUUUAUAUGUGUGUGUGUAUGUAUUGCACGCAGUAAAGCCUACUUCGAAAGUUGUGGGUAAUCAAUUUGAAGUAAUGAUUUCUCCAAAUAUAUACUGCACACUCAUAUACAGUGUCUUAUGUCCAUGAAAAUAUUUUAUUUUUGUGUGUGCAUUCGAUGCUCGUAUGUGCAAUUGUCAAUUCAUGGUGGGGACAGACCAUUGUUAAUUGUUGGUCUCGGUCUUAACUAGGAAUGCCUUGUACGGGUCUUUGGUUCAACAAACCACCCGGAAUACGUCCCUGCCCUUUGUACACACCGCCCGUCGCUCUUACCGAUGGACUUCUCUGUGAGUUUGAGGGACUGGAUUUUAUAUCUAUGGAAACUCAAACGAACAGUGUGGUCUAAAGGAAAGAGAAGUCGUAAC
rnacentral:rRNA from 1 species